rnacentral:rRNA from 1 species
CCUACGGGAGGCUGCAGUGAGGAAUAUUGGUCAAUGGGCGCGAGCCUGAACCAGCCAAGUAGCGUGAAGGAUGACUGCCCUACGGGUUGUAAACUUCUUUUAUAAAGGAAUAAAGUGAGGCACGUGUGCCUUUUUGUCUGUACUUUAUGAUUAAGGCUCGGCUAACUCCGUGCCAGCAGCCGCGGUAAUACGGAGGAUCCGAGCGUUAUCCGGAUAUAUUGGGUUUAAAGGGUGCGUAGUUGGGUUGGUAAGUCAGUUGUGAAAGUUUGCGGCUUAACCGUAAAAUUGCAAUUGAUACUGGCAGUCUUGAGUACAGUUGAGGUAGGCGGAAUGCGUGGUGUAGCGGUGAAAUGCUUAGAUAUCACGAAGAACUCCGAUUGCGAAGGCAGCUUACUAAACUGCCACUGACAUUGAUGCUCGAAAGUGUGGGUAUCAAACAGGAUUAGAUACCCUUGUAGUC